rnacentral:rRNA from 1 species
GUGCCAGCAGCCGCGUUAAUACGAAGGAUGCAAGCGUUGUCCGGAAUUACUGGGCGUAAAGGGCGUCUAGGCGGUUGAGCAAGUCACCUGUAAAAGUCCACGGCUUAACUGUGGAAUGUCUGGUGAUACUGUUUAACUUGGGUACAGGAGAGGAGGGUGUAACUCACAGAGUAGCGGUGGAAUGCGUAAAUACUGUGAGGUACCCCGAUGGCGAAGGCAACCCUCUGCCCUGUUACCGACGCUAAAGCGCGAAAGCGUGGGGAGCGAAGGGGAUUAGAUACCCCCGUAGUCCACGCCGCAAACGAUGUUCACUGGGUGUCGGUCAUUAAUUAGAUCGGUGCCGGAGCUAACGCAUUAAGUGGACCGCCUGGGGACUACGGCCGCAAGGCUAAAACUCAAGAGAAUUGACGGGGCCCC